rnacentral:rRNA from 1 species
GAAGAGAUAAGUGCUGAAAGCAUCUAAGCACGAAACUUGCCCCGAGAUGAGUUCUCCCUGAGACUUUAGGUCUCCUGAAGGAACGUUGAAGACGACGACGUUGAUAGGCCGGGUGUGUAAGCGCAGCGAUGCGUUGAGCUAACCGGUACUAAUGAACCGUGAGGCUUAACCUUACAACGCCGAAG